rnacentral:rRNA from 1 species
UACGAAGGGGGCUAGCGUUGCUCGGAAUCACUGGGCGUAAAGGGUGCGUAGGCGGGGCUUUAAGUCAGGGGUGAAAUCCUGGAGCUCAACUCCAGAACUGCCUUUGAUACUGAAGAUCUCGAGUUCGGGAGAGGUGAGUGGAACUGCGAGUGUAGAGGUGAAAUUCGUAGAUAUUCGCAAGAACACCAGUGGCGAAGGCGGCUCACUGGCCCGAUACUGACGCUGAGGCACGAAAGCGUGGGGAGCAAACAGG